CACGUAGGGCGCAAGCGUUGUCCGGAAUUAUUGGGCGUAAAGAGCUCGUAGGCGGUCUGUUGCGUCCGCUGUGAAAACUCGAGGCUCAACCUCGGGCUUGCAGUGGAUACGGGCAGACUAGAGUGCGGUAGGGGAGACUGGAAUUCCUGGUGUAGCGGUGGAAUGCGCAGAUAUCAGGAGGAACACCGAUGGCGAAGGCAGGUCUCUGGGCCGCAACUGACGCCGAGGAGCGAAAGCAUGGGGAGCGAACAGG
rnacentral:rRNA from 1 species